rnacentral:rRNA from 1 species
UACGUAGGGGGCAAGCGUUGUCCGGAAUUAUUGGGCGUAAAGGGCUCGUAGGCGGUCUGUUGCGUCGGGAGUGAAAACUCAGGGCUUAACCCUGAGCCUGCUUCCGAUACGGGCAGACUAGAGGUAUGCAGGGGAGAACGGAAUUCCUGGUGUAGCGGUGAAAUGCGCAGAUAUCAGGAAGAACACCAAUGGCGAAAGCAGCUUUCUGGGACGGUACUGACGCUGAGACGCGAAAGCGUGGGGAGCGAACAGG